GACGAACGCUGGCGGCGUGCUUAACACAUGCAAGUCGAACGGAAAGGCCCUGCUUUUGUGGGGUGCUCGAGUGGCGAACGGGUGAGUAACACGUGAGUAACCUGCCCUUGACUUUGGGAUAACUUCAGGAAACUGGGGCUAAUACCGGAUAGGAGCUCCUGCUGCAUGGUGGGGGUUGGAAAGUUUCGGCCGUUGGGGAUGGACUCGCGGGUUAUCAGCUUGUUGGUGGGGUAGGGGCUUACCAAGGCUUUGACGGGUAGCCGGCCUUGGAGGGUGAACGGCCACCUUGGGACUAAGGUACGGCCCAGAAUCGUACGGGAGGCAGUGGUGGGGAAUAUUGCGGAGUGGGCGGAAGCCAGAUGCAGCAGCGCCGCGUGCGGGAUGACGGCCUUCGGGUUGUAAACCGCUUUCGCCUGUGCCGAAGCGGGAGUGACGGUAAUGGGUAAAGAAGCACCGGCUAACUACGUG
rnacentral:rRNA from 1 species